ACUCCUACGGGAGGAGCAGUGGGGAAUAUUGCACAAUGGGGGAAACCCUGAUGCAGCCAUGCCGCGUGUGUGAAGAAGGCCUUCGGGUUGUAAAGCACUUUCAGUCGUGAGGAAGGUAGUGUAGUUAAUAGCUGCAUUAUUUGUACGUUAGCGACAGAAGAAGCACCGGCUAACUCCGUGCCAGCAGCCGCGGUAAUACGGAGGGUGCGAGCGUUAAUCGGAAUUACUGGGCGUAAAGCGCAUGCAGGCGGCCUGUUAAGUCAGAUGUGAAAGCCCGGGGCUUAACCUCGGAAUUGCAUUUGAAACUGGCAGGCUAGAGUCUUGUAGAGGGGGUAGAAUUUCAGGUGUAGCGGUGAAAUGCGUAGAGAUCUGAAGGAAUACCAGUGGCGAAGGCGGCCCCUGGACAAAGACUGACGCUCAGAUGCGAAAGCGUGGGAGCAAACAGGAUUAGAUACCCCUGGUAGCGACUGA
rnacentral:rRNA from 1 species